rnacentral:rRNA from 1 species
CAGGCCUAACACAUGCAAGUCGAACGGUAGCACAGAGAGCUUGCUCUCGGGUGACGAGUGGCGGACGGGUGAGUAAUGUCUGGGAAACUGCCCGAUGGAGGGGGAUAACUACUGGAAACGGUAGCUAAUACCGCAUAACGUCUUCGGACCAAAGUGGGGGACCUUCGGGCCUCACACCAUCGGAUGUGCCCAGAUGGGAUUAGCUAGUAGGUGGGGUAAUGGCUCACCUAGGCGACGAUCCCUAGCUGGUCUGAGAGGAUGACCAGCCACACUGGAACUGAGACACGGUCCAGACUCCUACGGGAGGCAGCAGUGGGGAAUAUUGCACAAUGGGCGCAAGCCUGAUGCAGCCAUGCCGCGUGUGUGAAGAAGGCCUUCGGGUUGUAAAGCACUUUCAGCGAGGAGGAAGGCAUUAAGGUUAAUAACCUUGGUGAUUGACGUUACUCGCAGAAGAAGCACCGGCUAACUCCGUGCCAGCAGCCGCGGUAAU